rnacentral:sRNA from 1 species
UCAUCCUGGCCCGCUUGCGGAAGACCGCUU